AUGGGAAUGGAGACGUUGGCGGACAGGCAUCACAAGUCGUCACAGCCUCCUCAAGAGGUAGGAGAAGAAGAAGAAGAAGAAGAAGAAGAAGAAGAAGAAGAAGAAGAAGAAGAAGAAGAAGAAGAAGAAGAAUUAAUAAGCAUGGCACCUUUGGAAACUACCUACUCAUCCCAAGUAUGGUUUUGGAUGCUUCAUUUAUUUCUUGAAUGUUUGCUUAGAUUAUGUUUCUUUCCCAUGCUAUGUGUGCGUGUGUGUGUGUGUAAAUGCAAAUCCAGAACAUAUGAUGAUUAUCCAUUGAGCGCUGCUGUGGUUUGGUGGUGCUGCUGA
rnacentral:rRNA from 1 species